rnacentral:rRNA from 1 species
CCUACGGGAGGCAGCAGUGAGGAAUAUUGGUCAAUGGGCGCGAGCCUGAACCAGCCAAGUAGCGUGAAGGAUGACUGCCCUACGGGUUGUAAACUUCUUUUAUAAAGGAAUAAAGUGAGGCACGUGUGCCUUUUUGUAUGUACUUUAUGAAUAAGGAUCGGCUAACUCCGUGCCAGCAGCCGCGGUAAUACGGAGGAUCCGAGCGUUAUCCGGAUUUAUUGGGUUUAAAGGGUGCGUAGGUGGGUUGUUAAGUCAGUUGUGAAAGUUUGCGGCUCAACCGUAAAAUUGCAGUUGAUACUGGCUGUCUUGAGUACAGUUGAGGUAGGCGGAAUUCGUGGUGUAGCGGUGAAAUGCUUAGAUAUCACGAAGAACUCCGAUUGCGAAGGCAGCUUACUAAACUGCCACUGACAUUGAUGCUCGAAAGUGUGGGUAUCAAACAGGAUUAGAUACCCGAGUAGUC